UGGCGGGGCUGCCAGUUUUGCACCCACACUUAACUGCGCGCGCAUUUAACGGCGCCUCCAACAGGAGGGGGUCAAUGAAGGGCUCAGUAAAUAUUUACGCCCCAGUUCAGUUGGUGAAGAAAGAACACCUCCAAGGGAAACACCAGCAGAUGCCUUUUUCACAUCAACAAUAACGUAUAAACAGAAUGCUGCACAUCCUAUAACUGACCUGUAUGAUAAAGUGAAAUCAUUCUUUGCAACCAGUGAUGGCCCUGGUCCAGAAGAGUAACUGAUCCUGAAAAUUAGGAAUUUGAUACAUAUACAAGAGAAAUGGCUUGCAUCAAGAUAGCUUGCUUGGACAUGAAAAGUCUUUUGUUGAAGAGCAGGUUUUAUCUAUUUCAAUUAAAAAAAACACAACACACCACAAACACACACACUUUCUCCUGCCCACAAAAAACAACAAACCCCAGAAUGAUUUGCAAAGCCUAGUAAACCUUUUCAACUCUGUUAAAAGACAGAGUUUUUUCCCAAAAACUCUUACAGGGCUGAAAUAUUAAACAAGUUACAAAUUAUUAAACUUCCUGUAAUUAAAUCUGUAUAGUUUUAAGUGUAUUUUAAUGAUUUUGCACCCCAUGUAGUAGUGUCUAUUAAAUUAACAUGAUUUCCUCUCUAGAGCUUUGAUCAGGUAAUAAGAAAUUGCAGUCAGUUUAGAGAUUGUCUCACAUUUACAAUCUUGGACACCAAGUGCUCUUCCAGUAAAGUGAAUUAUAUUUUACUUUGUUGGCUUUUGAGAGAGUCCUCAUGUUAUCUACUUCUGGUCCCAUUUUCCAACUUUAAUACAUAAAGGAAUAUAGAAAUUGAUCUCUUAAAAA